AACCUUACCUAGGUCUUGACAUCCCGAUGCUAUUCUAGAGAUAGAAGUUACUUCGGUACAUCGGUGACAGGUGGUGCAUGGUUGUCGUCAGCUCGUGUCGUGAGAUGUCGGGUUAAGUCCCGCAACGAGCGCAACCCCUAUUGUUAGUUGCCAUCAUUCAGUUGGGCACUCUAGCGAGACUGCCGGUAAUAAACCGGAGGAAGGUGGGAUGACGUCAAAUCAUCAUGCCCCUUAUGACCUGGGCUACACACGUGCUACAAUGGUUGGUGCAACGAGUUGCGAGUCGGUGACGGCGAGCUAAUCUCUUAAAGCCAAUCUCAGUUCGGAUUGUAGGCUGCAACUCGCCUACAUGAAGUCGGAAUCGCUAGUAAUCGCGGAUCAGCACGCCGCGGUGAAUACGUUCCCGGGCCUU
rnacentral:rRNA from 1 species